UUACGACUUUUGAUCUCUAGUCAAAUGCAGCAUUAGUGAACACUGAAUAUGUUCCAAGGCAAUAUUGUGGAAAAAAAAAAAAAACAUCUCUAAUCCAUAAGGAGUGAGUGGGAAGAGCAGGAACUCUUGCAGAACUACAGUGGGUUGGACUUGUUUCUUUGGAGGGAAGAAAGCCAAACAGUGCUGUAAUUACACACACUCCGUACCCGCUGCUCUUGGCAGGACACAAAGGUCUGGAAUCCUGGAGCGACGCCAAAACCCAGCUGAUCGAUGAACGGCGGCUCAGACUGACUGUGAACCUGAACUUUGAUCCCUGCUUCAAAAGACAUCUCGUCUGAUUAAGAGAGAGAGAGAGAGAGAGAACAUGAAAGCAAUACAGGUAGAAUUGUAAAUAUUCAUCCUGUUGGAUGUCCAGCAUGAUCUCCAGGCCGUUCCCCAUCCCGCCCUUCACACUGAGCAGUGGUGGACCGCUCUCACCCGAGUUAAAUGUGUAGCACUUCCCAUAGCGUGUGAACACCUGAAAAC